AUUGAACGCUGGCGGCAGGCCUAACACAUGCAAGUCGAACGGUAACAGGAAGCAGCUUGCUGUUUCGCUGACGAGUGGCGGACGGGUGAGUAAUGUCUGGGAAGCUGCCUGAUGGAGGGGGAUAACUACUGGAAACGGUAGCUAAUACCGCAUAAUGUCGCAAGACCAAAGAGGGGGACCUUCGGGCCUCUUGCCAUCGGAUGUGCCCAGAUGGGAUUAGCUUGUUGGUGGGGUAACGGCUCACCAAGGCGACGAUCCCUAGCUGGUCUGAGAGGAUGACCAGCCACACUGGGACUGAGACACGGUCCAGACUCCUACGGGAGGCAGCAGUGGGGAAUAUUGCACAAUGGGCGCAAGCCUGAUGCAGCCAUGCCGCGUGUAUGAAGAAGGCCUUCGGGUUGUAAAGUACUUUCAGCGGGGAGGAAGGGAGUAAAGUUAAUACCUUUGCUCAUUGACGUUACCCGCAGAAGAAGCACCGGCUAACUCCGUG
rnacentral:rRNA from 1 species